rnacentral:rRNA from 1 species
GUCCAGACUCCUACGGGAGGCAGCAGUGGGGGAUAUUGCACAAUGGGGGAAACCCUGAUGCAGCGACGCCGCGUGGGUGAAGAAGCGCCUCGGCGCGUAAAGCCCUGUCAGCAGGGAAGAAAAUGACGGUACCUGAAGAAGAAGCCCCGGCUAACUACGUGCCAGCAGCCGCGGUAAUACGUAUGGUGCAAGCGUUAUCCGGAUUUACUGGGUGUAAAGGGAGCGCAGGCGGCACAGCAAGCCUGAUGUGAAAGCCCGCGGCCCAACCGCGGGACUGCAUUGGGAACUACCGGGCUGGAGUGCCGGAGAGGUAGGCGGAAUUCCUAGUGUAGCGGUGAAAUGCGUAGAUAUUAGGAAGAACACCAGUGGCGAAGGCGGCUUUCUGGACUGAAACUGACGCUGAGGCACGAAAGCGUGGGGAGCGAACAGGAUUAGAUACCCUGGUACAU